rnacentral:lncRNA from 1 species
AUAAGGUUUAAAUACUUUCAGAUAGGUCCGCCGUACUCCUUAAUUCACAGGACGGUAUUUCUCAUCAAACAUUUGGUCAACAAUACUUACUAUGAACAACCUGUACACUUAUGGUGCCUCUCUUGUUUUCUUCUUUCAUAUUCCAUUACAUCUUCAUUAUGCUGCUUGAAAAGAAAAGCCCACAGGGCAGCACUGGUGGUGAAAGCCAGCCCGACUCCAAACCAGUUCGGUUGGUCGUAAGUACGCUUUCUUGCAAAAAAUGCAGAACGAGUCAAAGCGAAGCCGGGCCCGCCACCCGCCAGCCGCAGCCACUUCGCUGCCCUCAGCGGCGCCGCCAUCUUGUCCGCCAGGCGCGGGGCGGUCGCAGUUCCACAGGCUGCGCCAAAGGGCGCCUCCUGUCGGCCGGGCGGAACCCGCGCGCCCUGCCAGGCGCGGAACCGGUUCUGCGGGGCGCCGGGACGAGCGGUACGACAGCGGCGCGCGUAGGCAACCGCGGCCGCAGGGAACAGCGCGUCCUCCAAAGCCGACAAGCGGCCGGGCUGAGGGCCGGGCUCAGAACUUAGCGCCCUCGCUGCACUGACGCGCUUCCCGACCAGCCGCCUCGCGCCGUGACUCACCA